AGCAGCCGCGGUAAUUCCAGCUCCAAUAGCGUAUAUUAAAGUUGUUGCAGUUAAAAAGCUCGUAGUUGAAUUUCGGGGUCAGUAGGUUGGUCGUGCCACCGGUACGUACUGGUCUCACUGAUUCCUCCUUCCUGAUGAGCUGUAAUGCCAUUAAUUUGGUGUUGCAGGGAAUCUGGACUGUUACUUUGAAAAAAUUAAGUGUUUAAAGCAGGCUAACGCUUGAAUACAUUAGCAUGGAAUAAUGAAAUAGGACGUUCGAUCCUAUUUUGUUGGUUUCUAGGAUUGACGUAAUGAUUAAUAGGGAUAGUUGGGGGCAUUAGUAUUCAAUUGUCAGAGGUGAAAUUCUUGGAUUUAUUGAAACUAACUACUGCGAAAGCAUUUGCCAAGGAUGUUUUCAUUAAUCAAGAACGAAAGUUAGGGGAUCGAAAACGAUCAAUACCGCGUAGUCUUAACCAUAAACUAUGCCGACUAGGGAUCGGAAGAUGUUAAUUUUUUAAUGACCA
rnacentral:rRNA from 1 species